rnacentral:rRNA from 1 species
GACGAACGCUGGCGGCGUGCCUAAUACAUGCAAGUCGAACGAACCGCGACUAAGUGCUUGCACUAAGUCAAGGUGAGUGGCGAACGGGUGAGUAACACGUGGGUAACCUACCUCAUAGUGGGGGAUAACAGUCGGAAACGACUGCUAAUACCGCAUAGGACAUGGAAUCACAUGAUUCCGUGAGGAAAGGUGGCGCAAGCUAUCGCUAAGAGAUGGACCCGCGGUGCAUUAGCUAGUUGGUAGGGUAAAGGCCUACCAAGGCGAUGAUGCAUAGCCGACCUGAGAGGGUGAUCGGCCACAUUGGGACUGAGACACGGCCCAAACUCCUACGGGAGGCAGCAGUAGGGAAUCUUCCGCAAUGGACGCAAGUCUGACGGAGCAACGCCGCGUGAGUGAAGAAGGUCUUCGGAUCGUAAAGCUCUGUUGUUAGAGAAGAACAGCGCAUAGAGUAAACUGUUAUG